rnacentral:rRNA from 1 species
CGUGUAGGCGGUUUUUUAAGUCUGAUGUGAAAGCCCUGGGCUCAACCCGGGAAGUGCAUUGGAUACUGGAAGACUUGAAUACGGGAGAGGGCAGUGGAAUUCCUAGUGUAGGAGUGAAAUCCGUAGAUAUUAGGAGGAACACCGGUGGCGAAGGCGGCUGCCUGGACCGAUAUUGACGCUGAGACGCGAAAGCGUGGGUAGCAAACA